UGGGGAAUAUUGCACAAUGGGCGCAAGCCUGAUGCAGCCAUGCCGCGUGUGUGAAGAAGGCCUUCGGGUUGUAAAGCACUUUCAGCGGGGAGGAAGGCGAUAAGGUUAAUAACCUUGUCGAUUGACGUUACCCGCAGAAGAAGCACCGGCUAACUCCGUGCCAGCAGCCGCGGUAAUACGGAGGGUGCAAGCGUUAAUCGGAAUUACUGGGCGUAAAGCGCACGCAGGCGGUCUGUCAAGUCGGAUGUGAAAUCCCCGGGCUCAACCUGGGAACUGCAUUCGAAACUGGCAGGCUAGAGUCUUGUAGAGGGGGGUAGAAGUCCAGGUGUAGCGGUGAAAUGCGUAGAGAUCUGGAGGAAUACCGGUGGCGAAGGCGGCCCCCUGGACAAAGACUAACGAUCAGGUGCGAAAGCGUGGGGAGCAAACAGG
rnacentral:rRNA from 1 species